CCGACAAGUCGGAUGAUUGCUCCGAAUUAAUUCGGGGAGGAAAGUCCGAACACUCUCCUCGCAUUGCGAGGAAACAACUUAACGGGUAACGCCCGUCGUCCGUAAGGAUAGGGAUGCGAACAGUGACGAUGCCCUUAAGAAAUUAAGGGAGUGAAACGGCUAAAUUCCUAGGUGAGUGCAAGAACAAAUACCUGGUGAAAGAUGUUUAUGAUUUUUCGCCAGUGAAAGGUGGUUCGCUCGAGCCCAAUGGUAACGCUGGGCCCAGAUAAAUAAUCAUCGCCCCGCAGUUGCGGGGUACAGAAUUCGGCUUAUAGGCUUGCCGGGAUA
rnacentral:RNase_P_RNA from 1 species